rnacentral:rRNA from 1 species
GAUGAACGCUGGCGGCGUGCCUAAUACAUGCAAGUCGAACGAAACUUCUUUAUCACCGAGUGCUUGCACUCACCGAUAAAGAGUUGAGUGGCGAACGGGUGAGUAACACGUGGGCAACCUGCCCAAAAGAGGGGGGUAACACUUGGAAACAGGUGCUAAUACCGCAUAACCAUAGUUACCGCAUGGUAACUAUGUAAAAGGUGGCUAUACUACCGCUUUUGGAUGGGCCCGCGGCGCAUUAGCUAGUUGGUAGGGUAAAGGCUUACCAAGGCAAUGAUGCGUAGCCGAAUUGAGAGGUUGAUCGGCCACAUUGGGACUGAGACACGGCCCAAACUCCUACGGGAGGCAGCAGUAGGGAAUCUUCCACAAUGGGCGAAAGCCUGAUGGAGCAACGCCGCGUGGGUGAAGAAGGUCUUCGGAUCGUAAAACCCUGUUGUUAGCGAAGAAAGUGCGUGAGAGUAACUGUUCACGUUUCGACGGUAUCUAACCAGAAAGCCACGGCUAACUACGUG